rnacentral:tRNA from 1 species
UGAUGGCUCAAAUGGUAAAGAACUUGCCUGCAAUGCAGGAGUCCCAGGUUCAAGCCCUGGGUCAACAA